rnacentral:sRNA from 1 species
UGCAAUGCUUUUGUCAAGUUUUGCUAAUGGUGAAAGAAGACGAUUCUUGUAGAAAGAUAAAAGGGCUUUUGGUAAAUUGAUGAUCAAAUAUACGAUUACAGACCAAACUUAAUUGAGAAAAUUUACCGAAAUUGAAAGAGAGAGAUAGACAUGCAGAAGGUGGGUUGUUGAAUCAGUAGCGGCAGAUCUUGGCCGUAGGCAUUGUGACACAAACUUGUGCGUAUUUCUUCUUGGCCGCCUCUGUCCCUCGCUUGGGCUCUUCUUCUUCAGCCAUGGCUACCUUAGCCAAAGAACAAACCGCUGCAGCUGCAGCCGUGAACAUGAGGUCCCUCCUCAUUGUGGUGCUGCUCUGUUCCUUGACUUCUAAGCUGGGUGUGUUGUCGCUCGUGGAGGCUCUGACUACGGAGAGCCUUCGUCCGCCGGUGGCUGAGGGAACCUUGGCGACGGCCGGGAAGAAGGUAGCGGUCAUGGUCAUCGAUGCCAUUGCUUGAUAGUUGAUUCUACUCGCUAGUUGGCUCUCGGUUAAUGGUUUGUGAGGUGA